ACCGUAAGGAGGCGUGGAGUGUUAAGAAGAGAGAAUGCCGGAAUGAGUAGCGAGAUGGAGGUGGGAAUCCUCCAGGCCGAAUAUCUAAGGUUUCCAGAGUAAAGCUGAUCUGCUCUGGGUAAGUCGGGGCCUAAGGCGAGGUCGAAAGACGUAGUCGAUGGACAACAGGUUGAAAUUCCUGUACCGCGUAUUAUCAGAACUGUGGGGACACAGAACCGAAGCCAAACCCGGGAAUGAAAAGACCGGGGCAAGCGCCGGACUGGUUAGACUGGAAAAUCCGUUUAACAACAGGAAAGCGUGACGCGUACCGAACAAAAGUAGGGAAGUUGGUAUAGGGGCUGUCAAGAAAAGCCGCUAUUGUGUAAUACGUGCCCGUACCGUAAACCGACACAGGUGGAUGAGGAGAGAAUCCUAAGGCCGGCGGGAGAAGCAUUGUUAAGGAACUCGGCAAAAUGGCUCCGUAACUUCGGGAUAAGGAGCGCCCACGAGAGUGGGCCGCAGAGAAUAGGCUCAAGCAACUGUUUAGCAAAAACACAGGUCUAUGCAAAACCGAAAGGUGAGGUAUAUGGGCUGACGCCUGCCCGGUGCUGGAAGGUUAAGAGGAGAGGUUAGAGCAAUCGAAGCUUUGAAUUUAAGCCCCAGUAAACGGCGGCCGUAACUAUAACGGUCCUAAGGUAGCGAAAUUCCUUGUCGGGUAAGUUCCGACCCGCACGAAAGGCGUAAUGAUUUGAGCGCUGUCUCGACAAUGCACCCGGUGAAAUUGAAGUACCAGUGAAGAUGCUGGUUACCUGCGCCAGGACGGAAAGACCCCAUGGAGCUUUACUCCAGCUUGAUACUGGGAUUCGGUGUCGCAUGUACAGGAUAGGUGGGAGGCUAAGAAGGUAGGACGCCAGUCUUACCGGAGCCAUUGUUGGGAUACCACCCUUGCGAUAUUGGGUUUCUAACCUGCGGCCAUGACCUGGCCGGGGGACAAUGUCAGGUGGGGAGUUUGACUGGGGCGGUCGCCUCCGAAAGUGUAUCGGAGGCGCUCAAAGGUUCCCUCAGAAUGGUUGGAAACCAUUCGAAGAGUGCAAAGGCAUAAGGGAGCUUGACUGCGAGACUGACGGGUCGAGCAGGUACGAAAGUAGGACUUAGUGAUCCGGUGGUAUAAAGUGGGAUUGCCAUCGCUCAACGGAUAAAAGCUACCCUGGGGAUAACAGGCUUAUCACUCCCAAGAGUUCACAUCGACGGAGUGGUUUGGCACCUCGAUGUCGGCUCAUCGCAUCCUGGGGCUGAAGUAGGUCCCAAGGGUUGGGCUGUUCGCCCAUUAAAGCGGUACGCGAGCUGGGUUCAGAACGUCGUGAGACAGUUCGGUCCCUAUCCGGCGUGGGCGUAGGAUAUUUGAGAGGAGCUGUCCUUAGUACGAGAGGACCGGGAUGGACUGACCUCUGGUGUACCGGUUGGGUAUCAAACCCAUGGCCGGGUAGCCAAGUCGGGAAGGGAUAAACGCUGAAGGCAUCUAAGCGUGAAGCCCCCCUCAAGAUGAGAUAUCCCAUCGCAAGAGUAAGACCCCUUGAAGACGACGAGGUAGAUAGGGCAGAGGUGGAAGCAUGGCAACAUGUGGAGCUGACUGUCACUAAUAGGUCGAGGGCUUAACCAA
rnacentral:rRNA from 1 species